rnacentral:rRNA from 1 species
GAUGAACGCUAGCGGGAGGCCUAAUACAUGCAAGUCGAGCGGUAGAGUGACUUCGGUUGCUUGAGAGCGGCGAACGGGUGAGUAACGCGUACACAAUCUACCUUUAAGAGGGGAAUAGCCCUGGGAAACUGGGAUUAAUGUCCCCAUGGCAUCACGAGACGGCAUCGUUUUGUGAUUAAAGCUGAGGUGCUUAGAGAUGAGUGUGCGUCUGAUUAGCUAGUUGGUGCGGUAACGGCGCACCAAGGCGACGAUCAGUAGGGGGCUGAGAGCGUGGACCCCCACACGGGUACUGAGACACGGACCCGACUCCUACGGGAGGCAGCAGUAAGGAAUAUUGGUCAAUGGAGGAAACUCUGAACCAGCCAUCCCGCGUGCAGGAAGAAUGCCCUAUGGGUUGUAAACUUCUUUUGGAUGGGGGCGAAAAAACGGGAUUUAGUCCUGGACUGACGGUACCAUCAGAAUAAGCACCGGCUAACUCCGUGCCAGCAGCCGCGGUAAUGU